GAUGAACGCUGGCGGCGUGCCUAAUACAUGCAAGUCGAGCGAACAGACGAGGAGCUUGCUCCUCUGACGUUAGCGGCGGACGGGUGAGUAACACGUGGAUCACCUACCUAUAAGACUGGGAUAACUUCGGGAAACCGGAGCUAAUACCGGAUAAUAUAUUGAACCGUAUGGUUCAAUAGUGAAAGACGGUUUUGCUGUCACUUAUAGAUGGAUCCCCGCGGGUUUAGCUAGUUGGUAAGGUAACGGGUUAUCAAGGCUACGAUGCGUAAGCGACGUGAUAGGGUGGUCGGCCGCACGAGAGCGUAGACGCGGACACUGCGCCUACGGUAGGCAGCAGUAGGGAAUCUGCCGCAGUGGUCGAAAGCCUGACGGAGCAACGCCGCGUGAGAGAUGAAGGUCUUCGGAUCGUAAAACUCUGUUAUUAGGGAAAAACAAAUGUGUAAGUAACUGUGCACGUCUUGACGGUACCUAAUCAGAAAGCCACGGCUAACUACGUG
rnacentral:rRNA from 1 species